rnacentral:rRNA from 1 species
GGCUCAGGAUGAACGCUAGCGGCAGGCUUAACACAUGCAAGUCGAGGGGUAUUGGUUUUCGGACCAAGAGACCGGCGCACGGGUGCGUAACGCGUAUGCAAUCUACCUUUGCAGAGGGAUAGCCCAGAGAAAUUUGGAUUAAUACCUCAUAGUAUAGUACUUUGGCAUCAAGGAACUAUUAAAGUCACAACGGCAAAAGAUGAGCAUGCGUCCCAUUAGUUAGUUGGUAAGGUAACGGCUUACCAAGACAAUGAUGGGUAGGGGUCCUGAGAGGGAGAUCCCCCACACUGGUACUGAGACACGGACCAGACUCCUACGGGAGGCAGCAGUGAGGAAUAUUGGUCAAUGGGCGCAAGCCUGAACCAGCCAUGCCGCGUGCAGGAAGACGGUCCUAUGGAUUGUAAACUGCUUUUAUACAGGAAGAAACCCUCCCACGUGUGGGAGCUUGACGGUACUGUAGGAAUAAGGAUCGGCUAACUCCGUG